rnacentral:rRNA from 1 species
GUGGUCCUACGGGAGGCAGCAGUGGGGAAUAUUGGGCAAUGGGCGCAAGCCUGACCCAGCAACGCCGCGUGAAGGAAGAAGGCUUUCGGGUUGUAAACUUCUUUUCUCAGGGACGAAGAAAGUGACGGUACCUGAGGAAUAAGCCACGGCUAACUACGUGCCAGCAGCCGCGGUAAUACGUAGGUGGCAAGCGUUAUCCGGAUUUAUUGGGUGUAAAGGGCGUGUAGGCGGGAGCGCAAGUCAGAUGUGAAAACUCAGGGCUCAAACCUGAGGCUGCAAUUGAAA